CCUACGGGAGGCAGCAGUCGGGAAUAUUGCGCAAUAGAGGAAACUCUGACGCAGUGACGCCGCGUAUAGGAUGAAGGUUUUCGGAUUGUAAACUAUUGUCGUUAGGGAAGAUAAAAGACAGUACCUAAGGAGGAAGCUCCGGCUAACUACGUGCCAGCAGCCGCGGUAAU
rnacentral:rRNA from 1 species